GGGCUAAUGGUGUAGUUGGUUUAUCACGCUCGCUUAGCAUUACGUAAUGCAGUUUGCGAGAGGGGUCCGGUUCAAUUCCGGAUUAGUCCA